rnacentral:lncRNA from 1 species
AUUAAAAGGAGCGUCGAGCAAUAAAUUCUACACUUUAAUUUCUGUUGUCAGUGAAUUGUGUAAAGUCAAGUCUGUUACAUUCCAUCACUGUUUCGUGUUGUAACAGGAGUGGCAGGUUGAAUCAGGGGGCAGGGCUUCAUUUCCUUCUUUCUGUUUCAUUUACUCACAACUUACAAUGGCUGCUAAACGGAAGAGCACCGAAAUGGUGGCGCUGGAUGACCCUCUUUCAACAAAAGCUCCAAAGUUAGUGGAUGAGGAGGCUGAACGGAGGUGAGUAAUGAUUUACUGAACUACACGUUAUAACUGCAUUCUGCUUUUUAUUUUCUAAAGAUA